rnacentral:tRNA from 1 species
GGGAAUGUGGCUUAGUGGUAAAGUGCUUGCCUAACAUGCAUAAAGCCCUGGGUUCAAUUCCUCAGUACCA